rnacentral:rRNA from 1 species
AGGAUUAACGCUGGCGGCGUGCCUGACACAUGCAAGUCGAACGAGGUCGCAAGACCUAGUGGCGGACGGGUGAGUAACACGUGAUCAACCAACCCCGAAGUUGGGAAUAGCUCUGCGAAAGUAGAGGUAAUACCGAAUGUGGCCCACUGCGGACAUCCGCGGUGGUCUAAAGAUUUAUCGCUUCGGGACGGGAUCGCGGCCUAUUAGCUUGUUGGUGGGGUAACGGCCUACCAAGGCGAUGAUGGGUAGCUGGUCUGAGAGGACGGCCAGCCACACUGGGACUGAGACACGGCCCAGACUCCUACGGGAGGCAGCAGUGAGGAAUCUUCCGCAAUGGGCGAAAGCCUGACGCAGCGACGUCGCGUGAAGGAUGAAAUCUUUCGGGAUGUAAACUUCUUUUAUCGGGAAGAAACAAAUGACGGUACCCGAUGAAUAAGCCCCGGCUAACUACGUGCCAGCAGCCGC